rnacentral:rRNA from 1 species
AUGUCGGGCAACCUGAUCUCGGCGCCGGAACGAUUGGAAGGCGGUUACGUCGAUUUCAGCCGCCCCUCAACCCUCGCCGGCAACUCCCUUUACUGGUGGAUCCAUGGCUCCUAUGACAUGGAGUUACUUGAGUUUGAUAUUGGUAGGCAGAGCCUAGCGGUGAUCCAAAAACUUCCUGUUAGAGAUAUCCAGAAAUCGAAAAGUUUCAUCCACAUCAUCCGGGCAGAGGAUGGCAGUGUUGGCUUUGCCAUGUUGUCGUAUCCAAGCCUCCAAAUGUGGGACCUGAAGGCUGACGGGGAUGGUGCCGCCACAUGGUUUCCACGGAAUACCGUGAAUCUCGAGCUCGUCCCGAAUAGGAGGGCUGCCGAAACAGCUAUAGUCGGGUAUGUGGAGGAUGACGACGCAAUUCUUAUAAAGUUCAACAACGACGUCUUCAUGGUUCAACUUGAGUCAAUUGAGUCAAGGAAACUUUGUGAAAGCAUUGUGAGGCACCAAUAUCAUCCUUUCACAAGUUUGUAUUCUUCAGGGGAGUUUGGUCGCUGCAGAGGUCUGGAUAGCAUGCCGAGCCCAGCAGAUCCGGCCAUCCCGACGAGCAUAGCAGCUCCACCUGUCAUGAAGGCACCAGAGCAACGGGCUUGGACAUUCCAGCAUGUACCAAGGAAGCGUAGGAGUUGA